rnacentral:rRNA from 1 species
AACGAACGCUGGCGGCAGGCCUAAAACAUGCAAGUCGAACGCCCUAGCAAUAGGGAGUGGCGCACGGGUGAGUAACGCGUGGGAACGUGCCCUUCAGUACGGGACAACGUCGGGAAACUGACGCUAAUACCGUAUAAUAUCUCCGGAUCAAAGAUUUAUCGCUGAGGGAGCGGCCCGCGUCUGAUUAGCUAGUUGGUGAGGUAAUGGCUCACCAAGGCUACGAUCAGUAGCAGGUCUGAGAGGAUGAUCUGCCACACUGGGACUGAGACACGGCCCAGACUCCUACGGGAGGCGGCAGUUAGGAAUAUUGGACAAUGGGCGAAAGCCUGAUCCAGCCAUGCCGCGUGUGUGAUGAAGGCCUUAGGGUUGUAAAGCACUUUCAUUGGGGAUGAUAAUGACCGUACCCAAAGAAGAAGCCACGGCUAAAUUCGUGCCAGCCGCCGCCGUAA